rnacentral:misc_RNA from 1 species
UUUUGUUUUCUUUGUAACAAAAGAAUGUACGGUAUGAAAACUUCAUAAAAUAAACCCUGUACAGUACAAGUACAGCUGAACCCUUAUGUGGCUUAAUUAUAUACAGUUAACUUUGCAGGCAACCAAAUCACCAAUAAUGCCUCUGCUUCCCAGAGGACUCAUACCCUCUCACAUAUUUUUCUCUAUCCAGGGCUUGGAAUCGUUGAAUCAUUGGAGGAUCUAAAUCAAGU